GAGUUUGAUCUUGGCUCAGAGUGAACGCUGGCGGUAGGCCUAACACAUGCAAGUCGAACGGCAGCACAGCAGUAGCAAUACUGUGGGUGGCGAGUGGCGGACGGGUGAGGAAUACAUCGGAAAUCUACUCUGUCGUGGGGGAUAACGUAGGGAACUUACGCUAAUACCGCAUACGACCUACGGGUGAAAGUGGGGGACCGCAAGGCCUCACGCGAUUGAAUGAGCCGAUGUCGGAUUAGCUAGUUGGCGGGGUAAAGGCCCACCAAGGCGACGAUCCGUAGCUGGUCUGAGAGGAUGAUCAGCCACGACUGGAACUGACGACACGGUCCAGACUCCUACGGGAGGCAGCAGUGGGGAAUAUUGGACAAUGGG
rnacentral:rRNA from 1 species